rnacentral:misc_RNA from 1 species
GAACGCACAUUGCGCCCCUUGGUAUUCCGGGGGGCAUGCCUGUUCGAGCGUCAUUUCAACCCUCAAGCAUUGCUUGGUCUUGGGCCGUGCCGGCAACGGCUGGCCUUAAAACUAGUGGCGGUGCCAUCGAGCUCUACGCGUAGUAAUUCUAUCUCGCGUCUGGGUCCCGGUGGACGCUGGCCAGCAACCCCCAAUUUUCUAUGGUUGACCUCGGAUCAGGUAGGGAUACCCGCUGAACUUAAG